rnacentral:ribozyme from 15 species
AAGUUUCGGUUUGUUCUUGCUCUUUUUUCUUUCUUUUUCCGCUUUUUUUUUCUUUUGGUUUCUUU